rnacentral:lncRNA from 1 species
CUUGUGCCCCUCCGCCCCAGGUCCAGUCUUGUGCCCCUCCGCCCCAGGUCCAGUCUUGUGCCCCUCCGCCCCAGGUCCAGUCUUGUGCCCCUCCGCCCCAGGUCCAGUCUUGUGCCCCUCCGCCCCAGGUCCAGUCUUGUGCCCCUCCGCCCCAGGUCCAGUCUUGUGCCCCUCCGCCCCAGGUCCAGUCUUGUGCCCCUCCGCCCCAGGUCCAGUCUUGUGCCCCUAGCCCCUCCGCCCCAGGUCCAGUCUUGUGCCCCUAGCCCCUCCGCCCCAGGUCCAGUCUUGUGCCCCAGGUCCAGUCUUGUGCCCCUAGCCCCUCCGCCCCAGUCUUGUGCCCCUAGCCCCUCCGCCCCAGGUCCAGUCUUGUGCCCCAGGUCCAGUCUUGUGCCCCUAGCCCCUCCGCCCCAGUCCUGUGCCCCUCCGCCCCAGGCCCAGUCCUGUGCCCCUCCGCCCCAGGCCCAGUCCUGUGCCCCUCCGCCCCAG